rnacentral:rRNA from 1 species
UCGGGAAUUUUGGGCAAUGGGCGAAAGCCUGACCCAGCAACGCCGCGUGAAGGAUGAAGUAUUUCGGUAUGUAAACUUCGUAAGAAUAGGAAGAAUAAAUGACGGUACUAUUUGUAAGGUCCGGCUAACUACGUGCCAGCAGCCGCGGUAAUACGUAGGGACCAAGCGUUGUUCGGAUUUACUGGGCGUAAAGGGCGCGUAGGCGGCAUGACAAGUCACUUGUGAAAUCUCCGGGCUUAACUCGGAACGGUCAGAUGAUACUGCUUUGCUAGAGUGCAGAAGGGGCAAUCGGAAUUCUUGGUGUAGCGGUGAAAUGCGUAGAUAUCAAGAGGAACACCUGAGGCGAAGGCGGGUUGCUAGGCUGAUACUGACGCUGAGGCGCGAAAGCUAGGGUAGCAAACGGGAUUAGAUACCCAAGUAGUCCCUGAGCGGGCUGGCAAGGCGCAU